UUGACCUCGGAUCAGGUAGGGAUACCCGCUGAACUUAAGCAUAUCAAUAAGCGGAGGAAAAGAAACCAACAGGGAUUGCCCCAGUAACGGCGAGUGAAGCGGCAAGAGCUCAAAUUUGAAAGCUGGCCCCUUCGGGGUCCGCAUUGUUAUUUGCAGAGGAUGCUUCGGGAGUGGCCCCCAUCUAAGUGCUCUGGAACGGGCCGUCAUAGAGGGUGAGAAUCCCGUAUGGGAUGGGGUGUCCGCGACCAUGUGAAGCUCCUUCGACGAGUCGAGUUGUUUGGGAAUGCAGCUCUAAAUGGGUGGUAAAUUUCAUCUAAAGCUAAAUAUUGGCCGGAGACCGAUAGCGCACAAGUAGAGUGAUCGAAAGAUGAAAAGCACUUUGAAAAGAGAGUUAAAAAGCACGUGAAAUUGUUGAAAGGGAAGCGCUUGCGACCAGACUCGCCUGCGGGGUUCAGCCGGUAUUCGUACCGGUGUACUUCCCCGUGGGCGGGCCAGCGUCGGUUUGGGCGGCCGGUCAAAGGCCCUCGGAAUGUAACGCCUCUCGGGGCGUCUUAUAGCCGAGGGUGCCAUGCGGCCAGCCCGGACCGAGGAACGCGCUUCGGCACGGACGCUGGCAUAAUGGUCGUAAGCGACC
rnacentral:rRNA from 1 species